rnacentral:lncRNA from 1 species
GGCGAUGAAAGCCAGGCUGAGGGAGGAUUUAUUUGAGUUGUAUGUCCAGUGAAGGUAUGAGCUGAGGUGUGGGAGAUCAUUGCAGUGGGUGUAAAGCCUGUUUUUUGUGAACUUCUGUGAAGAACAUGCGAGGGAAAGAGACGUUUGGAUUUGCAGAAGCAGUGACAAACACCCAAGAGCUACUAAAACCAGUGAUUGACGAAGCCAAGCCAUUGCUCCACUACCCUUCACCCAAUUCACAGAAAAUAAGGGAAAAAAGCAAAGUGGCUUU